UACGUAGGGAGCAAGCGUUAUCCGGAUUUACUGGGUGUAAAGGGCGCGCGGGCGGGCCGGCAAGUUGGAAGUGAAAUCUAUGGGCUUAACCCAUAAACUGCUUUCAAAACUGCUGGUCUUGAGUGAUGGAGAGGCAGGCGGAAUUCCGUGUGUAGCGGUGAAAUGCGUAGAUAUACGGAGGAACACCAGUGGCGAAGGCGGCCUGCUGGACAUUAACUGACGCUGAGGCGCGAAAGCGUGGGGAGCAAACAGG
rnacentral:rRNA from 1 species